rnacentral:rRNA from 1 species
AGCUCCAAUAGCGUAUAUUGAAGUUGCUGCGGUUGAAAAGCUCGUAGUUGGAUUUCUGCCGAGGGCGACCGGUCCGCCCUCUGGGUGAGCACCUGGUUCGGCCUGGGCAUCUUCCUGGGGAGCGUGGCUGUACUUGACUGUGUGGCGCGGUGUCUGGGACUUUUACUUUGAGGAAAUUAGAGUGUUUCAAGCAGGCUCACGCCUUGAAUACAUUAGCAUGGAAUAAUAAGAUAGGACCUUGGUUUUAUUUUGUUGGUUUCUAGAGCUGAGGUAAUGAUUAAUAGGGAUAGUUGGGGGCAUUCGUAUUUAACUGUCAGAGGUGAAAUUCUUGGAUUUGUUAAGGACGGACUACUGCGAAAGCAUUUGCCAAGAAUGUUUUCAUUG